rnacentral:lncRNA from 1 species
CAUUCCCACCGCUUCCGCCCUUCACUCUCUGUUUUUGCCUCCGAUUAUUCUGUUUUGCCCUAAAAAGCUGAAUUUGUUCAACACAGUCUCAGAUUGGAGUUUCUAUUAUACUCUUAAAAACCCCUCUCAAUCCAUCCCCAAAAUGGAGCCAGAUUUCUUCAAAAAUCUACCACCAGAAAUCAUCAGCGAGAUCUUGUUAAGAUACCUGUUGUAAGCAUUCCAAUAAGCAAAUGGUUUGCAAGCGAUGGCUCCAUCUGCUGGAGUCUGAUGCAUUUGUCAAGUCUCAUUUUGCCAGAUCCGCCCCCGCCCUAGUUGUUUUGGGGAAUUCAAAUCAGUUGAAAGUUUUGGAAUUGGAAGGCGAGCUCAAUCUCCAUCUCGAGAGCUACAAUCCACUCACCCACUAUGAUUUCCCUUACAUCUCCAUCUUUGAAGAAUAAGGAAUUUUUUUAAUGGUUUUCUUGUUAUAAGGUGGGUUUUGAUAAGCUUUGGGUAUGUAAUCCGAUCACUCGUGAAGUUAUUAAGCUAGAUCUGCCUUCAGAUCUGCCUACAGAUCCACAACAAUCUCUCAGAAUAUCUGCUUUGGGAUUUGGGGCAAGCAAGGUAGUAGUCUGUAUUAAACGUAGGUCCUAUCUGAUAAAUUGGAGUGUCAUGUAUACACCUUGGAACAGGAUCUUGGCGACGGCUUGAAGGUAACCCGUAUUGACCAGUUUGGUCUUUCAGGUGCAUUUGUUAAUGGAAAUCUCCAUUGGAUAGCAACCAUUGGAGAAGAUUCGUCAUGGAUUUCUUGCUUUGAUGUUGAAACAGAAUGUUUUAGCUUCUUUAAAGCUCCUCCUUAUCAUGCUCGAAGAUUUCCCUUCACAAAAGGAACGUCCAUUUCUGCUUUGAGCGGUUGCCUAUGGUUUUGCAAGGUAGCAUCUGAAUUUGUAAAUUCUGGUGGGCGA